rnacentral:rRNA from 1 species
UACAGAGGGUGCAAGCGUUGUUCGGAAUUAUUUGGGCGUAAAGGGAGUGUAGGCGGCUAGGAAAGUCUUUCUGUGAAAUCUACGGGCUCAGCCUGUAACGUGCAGAGGAAACUAUCUGGCUAGAGUGUCGGAGAGGAUAGGGGGAAUACCCGGGUGUAGAGGUGAAAUUCGUAGAGAUCGGGUGGAACACCAGUGGCGAAGGCGCCUGUCUGGCUGACAACUGACGCUGAGACUCGAAAGCAUGGGGGAGCAAACAGG